rnacentral:rRNA from 1 species
UACGAACUGCACAAACGUUAUUCGGAAUUACUGGGCUUAAAGAGUCCGUAGGCGGCUCGGAGGGUGAGGUGUGAAAUCCCACAGCUCAACUGUGGAAUUGCGCUUCAAACCGCCGAGCUUGAGGAAGACAGGGGUGAGCGGAACAGAUGGUGGAGCGGUGAAAUGCGUUGAUAUCAUUUGGAACACCGGUGGCGAAGGCGGCUCACUGGGUCUUUUCUGACGCUGAGGGACGAAAGCUAGGGGAGCGAACGGG